UCCUACUCCUCCCCCGGGAUGCUACAAAAUGUUUAUCCCCCAUGUGUGUUCGUGAAGCUCCAAUGGCCGUGGCUGCUCUGUCACUGAACAAUCAACUGCUCUGCUUCGCAAAUUCAAGAUUUUCAUCAAGACCAAGACCACCAUGGCCCUCCAACAAAUUUACGCUCUUCAAUUCAGAAUCAAAGGCUCAUUUCUAUAGCAUUUCUUGCUCCUCGUCGUCUUCGUCUACUUCUCAGUCCCCAGAAACCGAUUCACAGACAGCUGAAUCGUGUGUCAAUUUGGGUCUCUCACUCUUCUCCAAAGGACGGGUUAAAGAUGCAUUAGUCCAGUUUGAAACAGCACUUAUUUUGGAUCCCAACCCUACAGAGGCCCAAGCUGCACUCUAUAACAAAGCCUGCUGUCAUGCCUACCGCGGGGAAGGAAAGAAGGCUGCUGAUUGUCUGCGGACCGCUUUAAGGGAAUAUAACCUUAAAUUUGGCACCAUUCUUAAUGAUCCUGAUUUGGCAUCCUUUAGAGCUUUGCCUGAGUUCAAGGAAUUGAAAGAAGAGGCUAUACUGGGUGGGGAAGAUAUUGGCCAAAGUUUUCGUAGAGAUCUAAAGCUCAUUAGUGAAGUCCAAGCACCAUUUCGCGGGGUUAGGAGAUUCUUUUAUGUAGCAUUCACGGCAGCUGCAGGAAUUUCAACGUUCUUUACCAUACCAAUGCUGUUUCGUGCAAUUAAAGGUGGUGAGGAUGCUCCUGAUCUCUGGGAAACAGCAGGAAAUGCAGCCAUUAACGUUGGAGGUAUCAUUGUUUUUAUGGCUUUGUUCUUUUGGGACAACAAAAAGGAAGAAGAACAACUAGCUAAAAUUUCCCGAGAUGAAACUUUAUCAAGGUUACCUUUGCGUCUUUCCACUAAUCGGGUUGUUGAACUUGUGCAGUUGCGUGACACCGUGAGGCCAGUGAUUUUAGCGGGAAAUAAAGAGAGUGUAUCUUUGGCCAUGAAAAAGGCAGAGAGAUUCCGGACUGAACUCCUUAGAAGAGGUGUUCUUUUAGUUCCUGUUAUUUGGGGUGAAGGUAGAACACAGGAAGUGGAGAAGAAAGGCUUCGGUGUUUCUCCUAAAGGUGCUGCAGCUCUGCCUUCCAUUGGGGAAGACUUUGAGAAACGAGCUCAGUCAGUAACUGCAAAAUCAAAGUUAAAAGCUGAGAUUCGGUUUAAAGCUGAGGUUGUGUCACCUGCAGAAUGGGAGAGGUGGAUAAGGGAUCAACAAAAGUUUGAAGGAGUUUCCCCCGGUGAGGAUGUCUACAUAAUACUGCGUUUGGAUGGCCAAGUUCGAAGAUCAGGGAAAGGCAUGCCAGACUGGGAAAAAAUUGUGAGUGAGCUUCCACCGAUGGAAGCAUUGCUGAGCAAGCUAGAAAGAUAAAAAUCCCAGAGUCGAGUGCAAGAAACACCGCUCUCUUGCUCCGGUUACAUUGCUAGAACCUGUACCGUACACUAUACGUAAAAUCUCCAGGGGUGUCGCUACUCGUCUUACGAUUCUCCGCGCCAUGCUCCGACGGUACUGUGAGACCUUCAUCUUUGAUGCCACGCAUUGCAAGCUGAUUCCGAAGGUUGGAGAUACGGUCUGUCACUUCGGCAACUGUAAUGUAGUAAGGCAUCACCGUAUCGGCACCUCUUGCGUACAGUAAGCCCCUGCUAGCAACUACCGUCGAGCUAUAGUUGAGCCAAUUUGUGACAACUUUAAAACUAUGUGAUCAGAAUCAAACCGCAAGGUUAAUGUUUAAUGUUUCUGCUGAUUAUUUAAAGAAGAAUCAAUUGGGGUUCGAAAACUUCUACAACACCA